rnacentral:rRNA from 1 species
AUGCUCGCCUCCAUCUCCCGAUCUCUCGCUCGCCGCCUCCCGCGCCUUCCGCUUGCCACCGCCGCCGCCACAACAGCCAUGUCGUCGUCCGACACCGCCGGGAGCGUCGCCGACCGUCCGAUCUCUCCUGAUACCACACGCAUCGGGUGGGUGGGGACGGGCGUCAUGGGCCAGUCCAUGGCCGGCCACCUCCUCGCCGCCGGCUACGCGCUCACCGUAUACAACCGCACGCCCUCCAAGGCCCAGGGCCUCGUCUCUAGCGGCGCCCGCCUCGUGGACAGCCCGCGCGCCGCCGCGGCCGUCGCUGACGUCAUCUUCCUCAUGGUCGGCUUCCCCUCCGACGUCCGCUCCACGUCCCUCGACCCCUCCACGGGCGCUCUCGCCGGCCUCGCCCCAGGCGGCGUCCUCGUCGACAUGACCACCUCCGACCCCACCCUCGCGGCCGAGAUAGCUGCGGCCGCGGCGGGGGCCGGCUGCGCCGCAGUCGACGCCCCCGUGUCAGGCGGCGACCGGGGCGCCCGCAACGCCUGCCUCUCGAUCUUCGCCGGCGGUGACGCGGCCGUGGUGGCCCGCCUGGCGCCCCUCUUCAAGCUGAUGGGCAACGCCCUCUACAUGGGCGGGCCGGGCGCGGGGCAGCGCGCGAAGCUGGGCAACCAGAUCGCCAUCGCGUCCACCAUGGUGGGACUGGUGGAGGGCAUGGUGUACGCGCACAAGGCCGGGCUGGACGUGGGCAAGUGGCUGGAGGCCAUCUCCACGGGCGCCGCGGGGUCCAAGUCGCUGGACCUGUACGGGAAGCGGAUGCUGGAGCGCGACAUGGCGGCCGGGUUCUACGUCCGGCACUUCGUCAAGGACCUCGGGAUCUGCCUGUCCGAGUGCCAGACCAUGGGGCUGGCGCUGCCGGGGCUCGCGCUCGCGCACCAGCUCUACGUGUCGCUGCUUGCCCACGGCGAGGGCGGGCUCGGCACGCAGGCGCUGAUACUGGCAGUCGAGCGGCUCAACAACACCUGCCUUGACAAGAAAGGGGAGUGA